UAGAAAAUGAUCGUUAUGACCUAGGAAGGUAUUUUCAAAAACCAAUUUCAGUCACAGGUAUUGUUUUAUGGAAUCUCAGUAUCUUAACUAUCUUUUUUUAUCAUUUUUCCUCUUUUCUGACCACCUAAGAUGGCACUGACAAUGCCCACCUUAAGUAGGAAGAAAAAUCCGGAGGAAGUUAUACAACAUGGUACAACCAUUGAACACAGUUUUCUAACAAUGACAAAUACAGAGUAAGAUCUA
rnacentral:misc_RNA from 1 species